AUAAAGGGAAGAAAGUGUAAUUACAAGAAAAAGAAACAGUAUUUAAUGGUCUGUUCACUGUUUUGUUUUUCAGGGAGACCCAGGACCACAGGGACUCCAAGGAGAGCAGGGCCAUGCUGGUCCUAAUGGUGCAGAAGGUCGAAGAGGCCCUCCAGGCAUAAAAGGUGAGCAAGGAGAACUGGGGGAAACAGGUUACCCAGGAGACCCUGGUCUUCCAGGCCCACAGGUAGCUAAGAGUACUUUGGAUUUGAUGUAUGUUAGCAGUGGAGAAAUUAGUUGUCAGUCUCGAUCUUUUGUUUUCCUUUUGGAAUGCUUUUUUUUAAAAUUUCAAUUAAUGAAUAUUAUGAGCAAAUAUUCUCUGUGACCGUGAAGAAAUAAAUGUACAAAGUUUCUUUUUAUGUUUAUGCA
rnacentral:lncRNA from 1 species